rnacentral:rRNA from 1 species
AACGAACGCUGGCGGCAUGCCUAACACAUGCAAGUCGAACGAGACCUUCGGGUCUAGUGGCGCACGGGUGCGUAACGCGUGGGAACCUGCCCUUAGGUUCGGAAUAACUCCCCGACAGGGGUGCUAAUACCGGAUAAUGUCUUCGGACCAAAGAUUUGUCGCCUUUGGAUGGGCCCGCGUUGGUUUAGCUAGUUGGUAGGGUAAAAGCCUACCAAGGCGACGAUCCAUAGCUGGUCUGAGAGGAUGAGCAGCCACACUGGGACUGAGACACGGCCCAGACUCCUACGGGAGGCAGCAGUGGGGAAUAUUGGACAAUGGGCGAAAGCCUGAUCCAGCAAUGCCGCGUGAGUGAUGAAGGCCUUAGGGUUGUAAAGCUCUUUUACCCGGGAUGAUAAUGACAGUACCGGGAGAAUAAGCUCCGGCUAACUCCGUG